rnacentral:tRNA from 1 species
GGUGUAGUUCAAUGGUAGAGCACCGGAUUGUGGAUCCGGGCGUUGUGGGUUCGAGCCCCACCUC